rnacentral:rRNA from 1 species
UUACCAGGGCUUGACAUGUUAGAAGUAGGAACCCGAAACGGGGACGGACCAGUAUCCAAUCUGGAGCUAACACAGGUGCUGCAUGGCUGUCGUCAGCUCGUGUCGUGAGAUGUUCGGUUAAGUCCGCUAACGAGCGCAACCCUCGCUGUGUGUUAUAUGUGUCACACGGGACUGCCGGUCUUAAGCCGGAGGAAGGUGGGGAUGAUGUCAAGUCAGCAUGGCCUUUAUAUCCUGGGCUACACACACGCUACAAUGGCCAACACAAUAGGUUGCUAAGCCGCGAGGUGGCGCCAAUCCAUAAAGUUGGUCUCAGUUCAGAUUGUAGGCUGCAACCCGCCUGCAUGAAGAUGGAGUUGCUAGUAACCGCAGGUCAGCUAUACUGCGGUGAAUACGUUCCCGGGGCUU